UCUCAAAAGAAAGUUCUGAACUGUUAGUAAGCUAGAAAAAACGAUAUUAAAUACAUACCGUCCAUGCAUGUAAGGAAUUGAGCGACAAUCCUACGUUCCAUUUCUCUUUGAGCACUUUCACGUUUGGGAGUAACGGCAUCAAUUUCAUCUAUAAACAUCAAACAGGGGGCUAACGAUUUAGCCUCUUCAAAGACCUCCCUAACUUUUUUUUCAGAUUCGCCGGACAUCCCAGAAACAAUAGAGGGAGCAGAUAUAGAGAUGAAGGGAACACCCAAUUCGUUGGCUAAUGCGUUGGCUAACAUAGUUUUACCACAACCGGGAGGACCAUGUAACAGUACACCCCUGGGAGGAUGAAUUCCAGUAUAUUGGUAUACUUCAGGAUGCUUGAUCGGCAUUGCGACUAGCUCAAGCAAUUCGUUAAUACAAUCAUCUAGUCCUCCUAUAUCACUCAAAGAAAUGUCACUUGGUGGUUCUCUAUUCGCUUCCGCUUUAAAAAAGUGUUAGUUUAUAUAAAUCACUUUUCCACUAAAAUAAAUUCUAACAAACCUUUUUGACGCUUUGAACCAUUAGUCUUGGAUCGACGAUCUUUUCUUUUGGCAGAUCCAGUAAUCGAUUCCUGACCAACAGACUUUUUCUCAUCUUCUCCAUCUAUUUCUUUCAAGUUUGGAGAGCUCCAAAGACUAGUGAUGCUUUUGUUAAUCACAUUGGUAUCCUGUAAAUAAUACUUAGUAAAAAUGGUUUUCAUAAAAAUGCAAAAGAGCAGCAAAGCAUACCUUAACUUCCAUCAAGUUUGAGUCAGAUUGUUCUUCCAUGUCGCUAUCAACAAGUACUAAAUCCUGAGAGGAAGCUAAUUUUUCCUCCACUUCGGCCUUCAAUGUGUCUAAAACUUUUUCGACAACUUUUUCAAGGAUUGGCUUCUUAAUUCUUCGAAGAGACAUGUCCCUUUCUUGAACAAAUUGAAUAGCCCGACGAGUAGAAACUGGCCACUCUUCAAUUUCUGUUUGUUGAAUGGUAUCUUUCAAAGAAACCAAACGUUCAUGAAUUUUCCGCUCCAAAUCACGACUAAGCGAUGUACCAGACCUUCUCAUUGUUUUUUCUUUUAUAUAAUAAAAAAAAAUCAACAAAAUAAAAGGAAUUAUUAAUCAAUUCCUGCCUUUCCUAUCAACCGAGCAGUAUAUGUGCUUUCGCCAAUGUUUGCAGCCUUCUAGCUGAAGCUUAGUGCAAGGACGAACAUAUGAGUACUGGGAGUUUCUUAUUGCAAAUUUCAGUUGAAAGCAUUGCAUACCACAUUUGUUCAGUGGAUUUUUAGUAAGUUGUAAAUCUUGCUGAUAAAUUUCUCAAUUUCUCUUCAGCUGCCCCCACAAUUAUGCUUACUUACUCAUUCCUACUUGAAAUCACUUAUAUUAGAAAUUGACUCUUUACUAGAUGAUUUACUCAUUUUGUUGACCAUCAAUGCGUAAGAAAGAUAUAUUUGAUUAAGUUUUUACGUACUAGCUUAGUAUCCCCAUUCAUAUACUAUUCAUACCUAGUUUUUAUACAAUUUCAGAAUUAUGAUAAUUAAGAAAAACUCCACUUAAGGAUAUGCGUAAAGAAGCCCGAGAAUCUGUCAAUCCAGGAGUAUGUCAGCAAACACU